rnacentral:lncRNA from 1 species
UUUGAUUAAGAAGGUGGCCAUUGAAACCACAAAAAGUAUUUGAAUGGGUUAUAUUUACCAAUUAAAAGUAUUUACAAAAAUAUGGUUAAAGUGGAUUAAAAGGUUCAAUUCAGAAUAAGUGUUAUGAAAAAUAAGUUUUGAAAAUCAAAAGCAUAAGGCUUAGGUUUCUAAUGUUGAAAACAAAAGUUAUUGUUUGCACAAAAAGUUUUGGCUUGGGUUAGAAUGGGGAGAAAAAAAAAGGGUUAAAUUCCUAAACAUACAAGAGAUAAGGGAAAAGAAAAUAAAACCACAUUAGGAGUUCCCCUCUUGAGAUCAUAUUGAUGAUCCAAGUAGCUCCCAUCCUUUGGAAUAAGCAGUCACAAAC